UACGUAGGGUGCGAGCGUUAAUCGGAAUUACUGGGCGUAAAGCGUGCGCAGGCGGUUCGUUGUGUCGGCGGUGAAAGCCCCGGGCUUAACCUGGGAAUGGCCGUCGAAACUGGCGAACUGGAGUGUGGCGGAGGGGGGUGGAAUUCCGCGUGUAGCAGUGAAAUGCGUAGAGAUGCGGAGGAACACCGAUGGCGAAGGCAGCCCCCCUGGGCUGACACUGACGCUCAGGCACGAAAGCGUGGGGAGCAAACAGG
rnacentral:rRNA from 1 species